UCACUUAUUUUCAUUUCAUGCUAAUAUGGCAGCGCCGUCGGGUGGAGGCGAUACGGAAGAGGUGACAUCAUCAUUUCAGUGCUGAUCUGUUAGGAGGGGGGAGUAAACACUCAUCACAGCUAUAGCUGGCCAUGUACAGGUCUCGAGAUGGGUUGCUGUCGAUUUAAAGGCAUUGGCAAUGACCAGAUAAUUGCCUUGGGAGCUGCACUUCUCAAUAACUUCGUCUAUGAACGAGUUCGUCGCCAUGGAGACAGUGAAGCUGAAUUAACCCGAAGUCAGCUGGGUGGUGUUGAGCUGUGCGACCCCAGCCAUAAACGUCUUGCACAGUGUUUGCAGCAGAUUGGAGAUGAACUGGAUGGAAAUGUGCAGCUGCAAAGUAUGUUAAAUAACUCCACUCUUCAACCAACUCAAGAAGUCUUCAUGAAAGUGGCCCGUGAGAUCUUCUCUGAUGGGAAGUUCAACUGGGGCAGAGUGGUGGCGCUUUUCUACUUUGCGUGUCGGCUUGUCAUCAAGGCUAUUAUAACCAGGAUUCCUGACAUCAUAAGAACCAUCAUAAGCUGGACUAUGUCCUACAUUCAGGAACACGUUAUUAACUGGAUCAGGGAACAGGGUGGAUGGGAGGGAAUCCGCUCCUAUUUCGGAACCCCGACAUGGCAGACUAUUGGUGUUUUCCUGGCUGGGGUGCUCACCACAGUAGUGGUGAUCCGCAAAAUGUGAAAAGACUGGCAGGAGGUGGAGAGCAAGAGAAGAAAGAGUUGAGACGACGAACCGAGUGAAACAGACCAGCAAAAGAGAACAGAAAAGAUGAGGGGGAAGAGGAAGGGAUCUGGAGUAGAGAUACAGAGAAAAAGACAAAUAAGAGAGUUGAAAACGGCCUCAACUAAUCAAGAGAGAGGAGGAAAGAGUGAGAGUCAAGCAUGAUGCAGAUGUCUCGAGCCACUCUUGUUACUCCUGAGCUUGUGCUCUUUCUCAUCUACAACUUUAAACCUUGAUAACAUUUGCACUGAAAAUCAGAGAUUAAUGCGUAAGAGUUCAGGUUUAGACUUGAUUUUAGCUAUUUAUUUUUAGUUUGGGCUUAUGGGUGUCUAGGUUGUAUACAGGACUGUAUUGGUAUUUGAUUUAAUCUGUUGAAGUUGUCUCAAUGCAGAAAUUUCUCAUAUUAAGUUAAGUUCUCAUAUUAUUUUUAUUUUUUGUCCUACAGUCAAAAUUACAUGCGGUAAAUAGUUAUAAUAGCUUAUAAAUGGAAUUAUUAUUAUUAAUAGGCUAUAUUAUUAUUAUUAUGAUAAACGCAUAAUUGUAUCUGUCUUUUUUUAGCGCACUGUCAUCUGAAAGAGUAGGAAUGGGCUCAGACUGUAUUCUGCUGAUAUUUUAAUUUCCUAUCUCUUCCUCAUCCUCCUCGUCUUUUUUUCCACUGUCUCCUCUAGUUAUUCAUGGUAGGGGCUACACAAUGUCUGUAAAGUUGAUUGUACUUGAAGGUUUAGCCUCUUAAGAGUUCAUGAAAUGUUUGCAACCGAAUUUGGGAAGUGCAGCCAACCAAUCAGCACUCUGGUUCUGGUAUGUGGGCGUGUCUUUGUCAGCGAGCCCCUCCUACGACAGGGAUAGACAAUACUAGUGACUCUUAAAUGCAGUGAACUUCUCUGAGCCAUGAUGAUCGUGUUUUUUACAGAACCAAAUAUUUUCCUUUUCAAAUUCCUUUUGGAUUCGACAAUCCAAAGACUUGCAGGUGCAGAUUCUUUGACGAAAAGCAGCUCGCUUGGCUUGAGCUGGUGCAAACAUUCGGUCUUGCAGGACUUGCAGGCCGAUUAGUUGAGCUUGUCCUCUCAGCAAGGUCUUCUCAUUACUGUAUUUUUAAGAUGGUUAGCCAGACCCACAAUCCUACUUUUACAUGCAAUUGUUCUUUUUUAUAUAUACCUGUUUCUUUAUCUUUUGGUUGUUUGGGUAGUUUCAUAUUCUUUUAUUUUUGGUUCUUUCGUUGAUAGUGCCUUGGCCUUUUUAUGAUAUUAGCCACCACUUUUUCAUCUUUUUCAACAUCUUUGUAAACUGGUAUAAAAUUGUGCACCCUAAGGCAGUCUGUCUGCUGUGUGAGCCCAUGAGUUUGUUUUGUAAGCCGUAAAAUGAAACAAAUUUUUUCAUUUUA